UAGGGAAUCUUCCACAAUGGACGCAAGUCUGAUGGAGCAACGCCGCGUGAGUGAAGAAGGCUUUCGGGUCGUAAAACUCUGUUGUUGGAGAAGAAUGGUCGGCAGAGUAACUGUUGUCGGCGUGACGGUAUCCAACCAGAAAGCCACGGCUAACUACGUGCCAGCAGCCGCGGUAAUACGUAGGUGGCAAGCGUUAUCCGGAUUUAUUGGGCGUAAAGCGAGCGCAGGCGGUUUUUAAGUCUGAUGUGAAAGCCCUCGGCUUAACCGAGGAAGCGCAUCGGAAACUGGGAAACUUGAGUGCAGAAGAGGACAGUGGAACUCCAUGUGUAGCGGUGAAAUGCGUAGAUAUAUGGAAGAACACCAGUGGCGAAGGCGGCUGUCUGGUCUGUAACUGACGCUGAGGCUCGAAAGCAUGGGUAGCGAACAGGAUUAGAUACCCUGGUAGUCCAUGCCGUAAACGAUGAAUGCUAGGUGUUGGAGGGCUUCCGCCCUUCAGUGCCGCAGCUAACGCAUUAAGCAUUCCGCCUGGGGGAGUACGACCGCAAGGUUGAAAC
rnacentral:rRNA from 1 species